rnacentral:rRNA from 1 species
UGGGGAAUAUUGGACAAUGGGCGCAAGCCUGAUCCAGCAAUGCCGCGUGUGUGAAGAAGGCCUUCGGGUUGUAAAGCACUUUUAUCAGGAGCGAAACGCUGUCGGCUAAUACCCGGCGGAACUGACGGUACCUGAGGAAUAAGCACCGGCUAACUUCGUGCCAGCAGCCGCGGUAAUACGAAGGGUGCAAGCGUUAAUCGGAAUUACUGGGCGUAAAGCGUGCGUAGGCGGUUUCUUAAGUCUGCUGUGAAAUCCCCGGGCUCAACCUGGGAAUGGCAGUGGAUACUGGGAGGCUAGAGUGUGUCAGAGGGUGGUGGAAUUCCCGGUGUAGCGGUGAAAUGCGUAGAGAUCGGGAGGAACAUCAGUGGCGAAGGCGGCCACCUGGGACAACACUGACGCUGAGGCACGAAAGCGUGGGGAGCAAACAGGAUUAGAUACCCUGGUAGUCCACGCCCUAAAAGCGAUGCGAACUGGAUGUUGGUCUCAAACUCGGAGAUCAGUGUCGAAGCUAACGCGUUAAGUUUCGCCGCCUGGGGAGUACGGUCGCAAGACUGGAAACUC